GUGGUUUAAUUCGAUGAUACGCGAGGAACCUUACCUGGGCUCGAACGUAAGAUGACUGUAGGUGAAAGCUUACAUCUCUUCGGAGCAUUUUACGAGGUGCUGCAUGGUUGUCGUCAGCUCGUGCCGUGAGGUGUCGGGUUAAGUCCCAUAACGAGCGCAACCCCUACCUUUAGUUGCCAUCAGGUUAAGCUGGGGACUCUAAAGGAACUGCCUACGCAAGUAGUGAGGAAGCGGGGAUGACGUCAAAUCAGCACGGCCCUUACGUCCAGGGCUACACACGUGCUACAAUGGCCGAUACAGAGGGCAGCUACCUGGUGACAGGAUGCAAAUCUCCAAAGUCGGUCUCAGUUCGGAUCGGAGUCUGCAACCCGACUCCGUGAAGUUGGAUUCGCUAGUAAUCGCGCAUCAGCCAUGGCGCGGUGAAUACGUUCCCGGGCCUU
rnacentral:rRNA from 1 species